rnacentral:rRNA from 1 species
UGCAGUCGAACGGUAGCACAGAGAGCUUGCUCUCGGGUGACGAGUGGCGGACGGGUGAGUAAUGUCUGGGAAACUGCCUGAUGGAGGGGGAUAACUACUGGAAACGGUAGCUAGUACCGCAUAACGUCGCAAGACCAAAGAGGGGGACCUUCGGGCCUCUUGCCAUCAGAUGUGCCCAGAUGGGAUUAGCUAGUAGGUGGGGUAACGGCUCACCUAGGCGACGAUCCCUAGCUGGUCUGAGAGGAUGACCAGCCACACUGGAACUGAGACACGGUCCAGACUCCUACGGGAGGCAGCAGUGGGGAAUAUUGCACAAUGGGCGCAAGCCUGAUGCAGCCAUGCCGCGUGUAUGAAGAAGGCCUUCGGGUUGUAAAGUACUUUCAGCGGGGAGGAAGGUGUUGUGGUUAAUAACCGCAGCAAUUGACGUUACCCGCAGAAGAAGCACCGGCUAACUCCGUGCCAGCAGCCGCGGUAAUACGGAGGGUGCAAGCGUUAAUCGGAAUUACUGGGCGUAAAGCGCACGCAGGCGGUCUGUCAAGUCGGAUGUGAAAUCCCCGGGCUCAACCUGGGAACUGCAUUCGAAACUGGCAGGCUAGAGUCUUGUAGAGGGGGGUAGAAUUCCAGGUGUAGCGGUGAAAUGCGUAGAGAUCUGGAGGAAUACCGGUGGCGAAGGCGGCCCCCUGGACAAAGACUG